rnacentral:rRNA from 1 species
GAGGUGUAUAACCCGCACGCGUAAUGAAAGUGAACGUAGGUGAGAGCUUCGGCGCAUCAUCGACCGAUCCUGAUGUAUUCGGAUGGAUUUGAGUAAGAGCGUAUAGCCUCGGACCCGAAAGAUGGUGAACUAUGCCUGAAUAGGGUGAAGCCAGAGGAAACUCUGGUGGAGGCUCGCAGCGGUUCUGACGUGCAAAUCGAUCGUCAAAUUUGGGCAUGGGGGCGAAAGACUAAUCGAACCAUCUAGUAGCUGGUUACCGCCGAAGUUUCCCUCAGGAUAGCAGUGUUGUUCUUCAGUUUUAUGAGGUAAAGCGAAUGAUUAGGGACUCGGGGGCGCUAUAUAGCCUUCAUCCAUUCUCAAACUUUAAAUAUGUAAGAAGCCCUUGUUACUUAAUUGAACGUGGGCAUUCGAAUGUACCAACACUAGUGGGCCAUUUUUGGUAAGCAGAACUGGCGAUGCGGGAUGAACCGAACGCGGGGUUAAGGUGCCAGAGUGGACGCUCAUCAGACACCACAAAAGGCGUUAGUACAUCUUGACAGCAGGACGGUGGCCAUGGAAGUCGGAAUCCGCUAAGGACUGUGUAACAACUCACCUGCCGAAUGUACUAGCCCUGAAAAUGGAUGGCGCUCAAGCGUCCCACCCAUACCCCGCCGUCAGGGUAGAAACGAUGCCCUGACGAGUAGGCGGCCGUGGGGGUCAGUGACGAAGCCUAGGGCGUGAGCCC